UAGGGCGAUUUACUAGAGUGGGGAACUUGAGAAUUUUUGUGUCCGAGACUUUGGGCAACUUCGCGGCCGCCCCCUUAAAGUAAAAGAUUUUCUCUGGGUGCCUAAAAUUCGCAAUUCCCGCAAAGUCGGGAAGACGUUAAAGUUUUUGCCCAAAAAAUGGCCAUCGAUUUAAGAUGAUUUUCCAAUAAGAAAAUUUUUCCUAAGAUGAAUUUUUUCGAAUAUUUCCUAAACUAAGCGUCGGAGCACAUGGCCGUGGAGGAACUUUUGGUAGCUUUUGGCAAGGGCUAUCGGAUGAAAUAAUGCGAAAGGCCAUCGGAGCGAUAUUGGAUAAAUGCGGGCACAUAAACGUACCUAAGAAGUGAAAAUUGGUACCUUGCACGCAGGAUGCAAGAAAUGCUUGAGUGUUAACCAUCAUCGGUACCAAGUACCUAGGUUAUAUCGAGUGCGUAGAUGGAAGUCGGUACCAAAGGGAAACCUUCCUAGGCUAGGUGCACGCAAGUGAGUAUGGAUCGAUCAGUAGAAAGAUGGGAAGCCAUAGGAAACCUUCCUAGGCUAGGUGCACGCAAGUGAGUAUGGAUCGAUCAGUAGAAAGAUGGGAAGCCAUAGGAAACCUUCCUAGGCUAGGUGCACGCAAGUGAGUAUGGAUCGAUCAGUAGAAAGAUGGGAAGCCCAAGGAAACCUUCCUAGGCUAGGUGCACGCAAGUGAGUAUGGAUCGAUCAGUAGAAAGAUGGGAAGCCCAAGGAAACCUUCCUAGGCUAGGUGCACGCAAGUGAGUAUGGAUCGAUCAGUAGAAAGAUGGGAAGCCAUAGGAAACCUUCCUAGGCUAGGUGCACGCAAGUGAGUAUGGAUCGAUCAGUAGAAAGAUGGGAAGCCAUAGGAAACCUUCCUAGGCUAGGUGCACGCAAGUGAGUAUGGAUAGAUCAGUAGAAAGAUGGGAAGCCAUAGGAAACCUUCCUAGGCUAGGUGCACGCAAGUGAGUAUGGAUCGAUCAGUAGAAAGAUGGGAAGCCCAAGGAAACCUUCCUAGGCUAGGUGCACGCAAGUGAGUAUGGAUCGAUCAGUAGAAAGAUGGGAAGCCAUAGGAAACCUUCCUAGGCUAGGUGCACGCAAGUGAGUAUGGAUCGAUCAGUAGAAAGAUGGGAAGCCCAAGGAAACCUUCCUAGGCUAGGUGCACGCAAGUGAGUAUGGAUCGAUCAGUAGAAAGAUGGGAAGCCAUAGGAAACCUUCCUAGGCUAGGUGCACGCAAGUGAGUAUGGAUCGAUCAGUAGAAAGAUGGGAAGCCCAAGGAAACCUUCCUAGGCUAGGUGCACGCAAGUGAGUAUGGAUCGAUCAGUAGAAAGAUGGGAAGCCAUAGGAAACCUUCCUAGGCUAGGUGCACGCAAGUGAGUAUGGAUCGAUCAGUAGAAAGAUGGGAAGCCCAAGGAAACCUUCCUAGGCUAGGUGCACGCAAGUGAGUAUGGAUCGAUCAGUAGAAAGAUGGGAAGCCCAAGGAAACCUUCCUAGGCUAGGUGCACUCAAGUGAGUAUGGAUCGAUCAGUAGAAAGAUGGGAAGCCAUAGGAAACCUUCCUAGGCUAGGUGCACGCAAGUGAGUAUGGAUCGAUCAGUAGAAAGAUGGGAAGCCAUAGGAAACCUUCCUAGGCUAGGUGCACGCAAGUGAGUAUGGAUCGAUCAGUAGAAAGAUGGGAAGCCAUAGGAAACCUUCCUAGGCUAGGUGCACGCAAGUGAGUAUGGAUCGAUCAGUAGAAAGAUGGGAAGCCCAAG